GAUGAACGCUGGCGGCGUGCCUAAUACAUGCAAGUCGAGCGAACAGACGAGGAGCUUGCUCCUCUGACGUUAGCGGCGGACGGGUGAGUAACACGUGGAUAACCUACCUAUAAGACUGGGAUAACUUCGGGAAACCGGAGCUAAUACCGGAUAAUAUAUUGAACCGCAUGGUUCAAUAGUUAAAGACGGUUUUGCUGUCACUUAUUGAUGGAUCCGCGCCGCAUUAGCUAGUUGGUAAGGUAACGGCUUACCAAGGCAACGAUGCGUAGCCGACCUGAGAGGGUGAUCGGCCACACUGGAACUGAGACACGGUCCAGACUCCUACGGGAGGCAGCAGUAGGGAAUCUUCCGCAAUGGGCGAAAGCCUGACGGAGCAACGCCGCGUGAGUGAUGAAGGUCUUCGGAUCGUAAAACUCUGUUAUUAGGGAAGAACAAAUGUGUAAGUAACUAUGCACGUCUUGACGGUACCUAAUCAGAAAGCCACGGCUAACUACGUG
rnacentral:rRNA from 1 species